rnacentral:lncRNA from 1 species
UCAAGAUUAAAAACCCCUUAAAAUUCUUUCCUGCUCCACAAAUUGAUAUUAACCCAAUAAAAUUUCUGUUCACUUCAAAGUUCACAUGGACUUUGUAUAAAAUCCUGACCAAGACAAUACUGAAUUAAGAAGCUAAAUUUUCAAAGAAAGAGAAAACGUUAUCUAAAAAAUACAAUUUUUUACCGUGCUUGGAGACAGCAGAACACUGGCAGGCCCAAGAAAUGGUACCAAUCAGACAGAGACAGCCAGGCUGAAACCUGGACAUUUCCUUCAAUCUGUCCUCAGCUCUCUGAAACAGGGAGGCAGAAGGAUGGACACCAGAGUAAGCAAGACUGACUCCUUCAGCAUGAAUUUGUUCUUUAGACCACUUGUUUGCUCAACAGGUUUUGCAGCCUAUAGGUGCAUCAGCCUACACCCACAUCUCCAGAAGGCUACUUUCCCUCCCUCCUGUGUCCAAGCACCCCAGUUUCCUCCCAUAGAAGGGGUACAUUGGAGGGAUAUUGGAGUAGAAACUAAAAUGUACACACACACAGAGAGAGUACUUCAUGUACUAGAACCUCUUUUUCAGGUUACAUGGUUUAGACAAAUCUCGACAGCCUCUGCCAGAGAACCCCUGCAGCCUUCUGAGCAACCCAGUUCAGUGCUUCAGUUCAUCACGAAGCUUAAAGAUGGCUUGCCUUUAACUGUCUCUUGUUUAUAGCAGGAAACCCAAAGAGCACUCCCAGGAUCCUACAAGCAAUUGUUCUUGCCUAUUUGUAACUACUAUGAUGAACUAAGAUGGGACUUUCCACCCAUCUGGUCUAAUUUCCCGAAGAUUGCGUGCCUGCUGGGAUCAGUUGCCCCACCAAGUUGCCCUUUGCUGAAAGGUCCUGACAGAGAGAUGCACAAAAGAUAUUUAUGUGCAAAAUGACCUCUUUUUUUAUUUUUAUUUUUUUCAACUGUUUCCUUUUUCUAUGCCAUAAGUGAUCAUAAUUUAAAAAUGUAUUUUGCUAGUUACUGAGUGUGAUGUUCAAUGUGAACCUUCUGUGAAUAAAUUAGUUCAGAUCAUUUCUCUGAACA